CAUGGAAUGUCAGGGUAACCCAUUUCUCUUACCUCUGCCAUAUUUGAAGCAGGUAUUGAAGAGAAGAAAGAGGAGAACUUGUCCAUAGCCCUCCUGUCUGUGGCAAUGCUCCUACCCAGGAGCUGGAGCAUGGAGGGCACUGGGCACAGGAGAGACAAGCCAGGAGAAUACAGCAAGAAGGCCACCAUGUGCAAACCAGGAAGAAAGCCUUCUCUAACAGCCUGGCCACUCAGCACCCUGAUCUUGAACUUCCAGCCUCCCAAACCGUCUUCCAGUGUGGCAUGGCUAUGACGCUUGUAGCUUACUCAAUGUCCCUAAAUAUCCCCCAAAAUAUGGGAACCUGAGAGUGUUCUUCGUAGAAUUCAUGAAUCUCCCCUGGAAUUUUAUUCCACAGAUUCAGUUUUGAGACUUUUUAUCCUUUUGAUUUGAUUGCUCCUGGAGCCCUACCCUGAGCUCUGAGUGAAUGUAUUUAUCUUAGUUUGUCUAGAAAGGCACUCUGGAAUCUGCAGUGGGAACUUGAUGAUAGAUGGAUCAUUGAAACUGGCUUUUAAAAGUGACAUUUUGGUUAAAAGUCAUCUCAAAAAAGAAAAACAGCUUUUAGAAAGUGUAUAUUCAAUAAAAUUCCAGAAGCCGGCCCUGGUGGGCUGUCCCUGAAUCUGGCUCUGGCAGUGGGUUUGAAAUUCUCCAGCCU